GACGAGGGGUCCAAGCGUUGUUCGGAAUUAUUGGGCGUAAAGCGGGUGUAGGUGGCUCUAUAAGUCAGAAGUGAAAGCCCCGGGCUUAACCCGGGAAGUGCUUUUGAUACUGCAGAGCUUGAAUGUGGGAGAGGGAUGCGGAAUUCCAGGUGUAGCGGUGAAAUGCGUAGAUAUCUGGAGGAACACCGGUGGCGAAGGCGACAUCCUGGACCAACACUGACGCUGAGGAGCGAAAGCCAGGGGAGCAAACGGG
rnacentral:rRNA from 1 species